rnacentral:rRNA from 1 species
CCUACGGGAGGCAGCAGUGGGGAAUAUUGGACAAUGGGCGCAAGCCUGACCCAGCAACGCCGCGUGAAGGAAGAAGGCUUUCGGUAUGUAAAGCUCUAUCAUCAGGGACGAAGGAAGUGACGGUACCUGAGUAAUAAGCCACGGCUAACUACGUGCCAGCAGCCGCGGUAAUACGUAGGGGGCAAGCGUUAUCCGGAUUUACUGGGUGUAAAGGGAGCGUAGACGGGGAUGCAAGUCUGAAGUGAAAGGCAGGGGCUCAACCUACGGACUGCGUUGGAAACUGUAUGGCUGGAGUGCAGGAGAGGGAAGCGGAAUUCCUAGUGUAGCGGUGAAAUGCGUAGAUAUUAGGAGGAACACCAGUGGCGAAGGCGGCUUACUGGACUGUAACUGACGUUGAGGCGCGAAAGCGUGGGGAGCAAACAGGAUUAGAUACCCGGGUAGUC